GGGGCGGUCGCCUCCCAAAGAGUAACGGAGGCGCCCAAAGGUUCCCUCAGCGCGGACGGAAAUCGCGCAAAGAGCGUAAAGGCAUAAGGGAGCUUAACUGCGAGACCUACAAGUCGAGCAGAUAGGAAACUAGGGCUUAGUGAUCCGGUGGUCCCGUAUGGAAGGGCCAUCGCUCAAAGGAUAAAAGGUACUCCGGGGAUAACAGGCUGAUCUCCCCCAAGAGCUCAUAUCGAC
rnacentral:rRNA from 1 species